AUGUGUCCUCCGAUCCAAAACGAAGAUAAAUACAAUACUAAUGAUAAUAACACCAACAAUAACGGCUCUAGGUUAUCCGUUUAAUAUGGUUUGAAUGAAGAGGAUUUGAGAUAUAACAAAGUACCUCCGUUUACUCUCUUUAUACUAUGUUUGUAUUGUUUCAGAUUAAUGUGACAAAAUUGUAUUAUAAAUUUAUACGUUAUGAGCAUCUCAGUAGUUCUAAAUUUUGUCCAAUGCAAAUUAUUAAUUUUGUAUAUCCACUAACUAAAUAUUUGGAUUGUUGAGAGUUAAUGUAUCUUUGCUAUUUGAUUCAAUAUAUAUAUAUAUAAUAUUAAGUUUCAUAAAUCUCUAGCUUAAAAUCAUUUAGCAAUUAAUGUAUAUUGAUCCUUUUCUGUGUAUCACUACAGGCCACAUAUUAAUUUAGAUAUUAGGUACCUAACAUAUACUCCCUCUGUUCCCCGAAAGUAAGAUGUUUUAAAUUUUUUACUUGUUCCACAAAGAUAUAUUUUCUAUAUGUUUAAGAUACUUUUUAUACUUUUAAGAAACAUUAAAUGAAAAUAUUUGAAUUUAUUAAAUUUCAUUGGUGAAAAGUUAUUGGAAACUGUAUAAUAAAGUAAAAAAAAAAUUAAAUUAUUAACAUUUAUUGAAUUCUUAAUAAACGUAAACACAUUAAAAAAUCUUACUUUCGAGAACAGAAGGAGUAUAUCAAACAUGCGCGUCUAAUGGUAAUUACAUUGUUUCUUUGUAUAAGUUGAUUGUGUAUUGAUUCUUUUUCGCAUCACUCGGAAACAAUUUUUUGUUGGGGCCAUUAUAUAAUCUUAUAUAUUAAAAUAGAAUUCAUGAUUUCUUGAAUGUGUGAUUUUUUAAUUUGGAGAACAAAGAAAUGAAAGCAGCAGCAACAAUGUGUCCUCCGAUCCAAAACGAAGAUAAAUACAAUACUAAUGAUAAUAACACCAACAAUAACGGCUCUAGGUUAUCCGUUUAAUAUGGUUUGAAUGAAGAGGAUUUGAGAUAUAACAAAGUACCUCCGUUUACUCUCUUUAUACUAUGUUUGUAUUGUUUCAGAUUAAUGUGACAAAAUUGUAUUAUAAAUUUAUACGUUAUGAGCAUCUCAGUAGUUCUAAAUUUUGUCCAAUGCAAAUUAUUAAUUUUGUAUAUCCACUAACUAAAUAUUUGGAUUGUUG
rnacentral:lncRNA from 1 species